AUUACUAUUUAGGGAUCAAAGUUGCAAUCCACCCACUUAGAUCAAACAUUUUCCCAUUUAUGUGGGGAUGAGCUACUUGCGUCAAGGACAGGGCACCAGCAUGGCUAGUAGCGUCAGGCGAAGCAUAUGGGUGCACAUAAGACCCAACUAAGCCUAGAGAGUUAAACAUGAUGAUCCACAAUUCUAGCAUCUGUACUUCCAAGUGCACAGUCUAUGUCAAAAUGGAGCCAAUAUGGAAUCUCACAUCCAUGUUUAGAAGAAAUUUAGAACUCGCAUGUAGCCCAUUUUCCACAAUUUUUGCUGAAUCCUCCCAUUUUAUCCCGAGUAGGUAUAAGCCCCUUAUAUUACACCGAAUAUGUUAAACAUGAUUAGGUAGCCAAAGCCUCAAUGACAAGUGGCCUGUUUGCAACACUCUAUUGAUAUUUUCAUUAGCUAAUGCACAAAUGAAUUGAAGAAUUAUAGUACAAAUGAGGAAUAACUCUUGCCACAACCCCAUGCUUAUCUCUUUUUCAGGCUAUCCUUGUACCACUAUAUCAUGAAUCAUCCCUACUUGAUUUCUUGAGCACCCUAUGACUAGGCUGAUCCUUAUCAGAAGGGUGUUCGAUCAAUUCUUCCCAGUUUUCUUUUGUCUUGCUUUCCUUUGAAGAACUAAGAGAAGAUUCCCUACUUGGAUUUUGUGAUUCAUCUUCUUUGAGUCCUUUGUCUUGUUCAUCAAAAGUUCCAUAUUGAGAAGGUGAAUAAGCAUGUGGCACAGAUAGUGUAACCGCACUCUUUAGUCUUUAGUGCAUGUAACAGUUCGACAGUUCCCCACUCCUAUUAUUAGCAGUUGGCAAUGUCGUCACAAGCUGUUUCUUAUCCUAUGAAUCUAACCAGUGUGAAUCUGUACAGGUACGUGCGAGAAACCUCGAAAAUGCUUAAUAUUUGGGCUUAUGCAAGCUUGCCAGAUAGGGGGAAAGGCUGGCCU
rnacentral:misc_RNA from 1 species